AACGAACGCUGGCGGCAGGCUUAACACAUGCAAGUCGAGCGCCCCGCAAGGGGAGCGGCAGACGGGUGAGUAACGCGUGGGAACGUACCCUUUGUUACGGAAUAGCUCCGGGAAACUGGAAUUAAUACCGUAUGUGCCCUACGGGGGAAAGAUUUAUCGGCAAAGGAUCGGCCCGCGUUGGAUUAGCUAGUGGGUGGGAUAAUGGCAUACCAAGGCGACGAUCCAUAGAUGGUCUGAGAGGAUGAUCAGCCACAUUGGGACUGAGACACGGCCCAAACUCCUACGGGAGGCAGCAGUGGGGAAUAUUGGACAAUGGGCGCAAGCCUGAUCCAGCCAUGCCGCGUGAGUGAUGAAGGCCUUAGGGUUGCAAAGCUCUUUCACCGGAGAAGAUAAUGACGGUAUCCGGAGAAGAAGCCCCGGCUAACUUCGUGCCAGCAGCCGCCGUAAAAC
rnacentral:rRNA from 1 species